CACAUGAGCUCCCACCUUUGGCGAGUUCAUGCAUAUUAUUCCCCACAACUUGUUGAGCGAUGAACGUAUGUGAGCUCACUCUUGCUGUCUCACACCCCCCCACAGGUCAAGAACAGGUACCACAGGAUGAGGCGCAUGGAGGAUGCUGCGAUGUGUUCGUGAGAGGUCUAGGCCGUCGUCUCCCAGUCAACUUUGGGUUGCUGGACCGUUGUCUCCUUAUAAUGUAAUUAUUUAUUUAUUUUGUAUAGAACUCCUGUUAUAUAGUAAAGAUGUGACAUUCGAUCCUGUGCCAUGAUUCAUCAUAUGUGUGAGACUUGGUCCCAGCACACCUGGUGAUUAUGUUCGCGCCCGGGUCUUAGUGCCCGUGAAAUCCGGGUGUGACAGAAGUGGUAUCAGAGGAAUGUUGACUGUAGGACGAAACCUAGAUAGAACUGGACAACCAUUCUCUACUUACCUUUGCUACUCUGAUUCUUUUCUAAACUUUUCUUAAUCUUUUCUCAUCUAUUUCCGCUUCACUCUGAUUAUUCUUACCUUUUCAUUCUAAAGACAAAUGUGGAUUUCACACUUUGAAGUCCUAUAUCUAAAGUGACUUUUAGGAGUAGGAGACCUAUUCUUAGGAACAAAAAAAACAAAAUUAUUUUUGUAGGUAUCUAUGUGCUUCAAUGUUUGUUCUUAUGAUACUUGUCUGAUUUGGAUCUUUGAUUGAGUGGGAUGAGUUGUGGAGUAAUGUCCACAAUUACAUCUACAUAUACAUAUAUGCAUAAAUGUAAAUAAAUAAAAUUCAUAAGAUAACUAAACAACCUAGAUUAUCCUGAUUAAAAUAUAUCUAGCCUAAUAGCUCCAUCUUAUCUUGAAAAGAUUUUAUCUCAUCCUAAAAGAUCUAACUAACCUCAAAAGAUUCUACCUUAUCCUUAUGGAUCCAUCUUGCCCUAAUCAGCAAUUUUAUCUCACUCUAGAAUAACCACCAUAAGCUAAUCCAAAAAAAAUUUAUUUAGAUUUUAACUAGUCUAAUCUAGUCAUAUCCAAUCUAAUCUAGCUUUUAUCUAAUCUAUUAUGAUCUAAUCUAGAGUAAGUUACUUAAUGCUGAUACAAAAGAUAAGGUCAUACCCAACAACUUGACUUACAUAACAGAUCUAUCUUAGCCUCUUGUCCCAAACCCGGAUGGAGACACCAAAGAGCAAGAAGGAGGAGAUCAACCUCGACAUGGAAGAAUAGGAGUCAAAUCAGAUCUCGAGAUGAUUCAAGAUUUACCACCUUCGAUGGGGUCUUCCCUUACUAAGUUCUUCUUACCAUCAGCUAACCUCACUUUGACCAUCUCUCUUCUUACCUAACUGUGUGUAUAAACUAGAAGAUAUCCAUGCAUUUCUAAGUACUUGCUAAAUUGUAUUUUUUAAAAAAAACAGAGACUCUUAAUUUUUGAAUCAAUUAGAAAAUACAACCUCGAUUACAAACCAAUCUUGGUAUAAUCUUUUUUUUCUUACAAAUCUCGAGGACGAGAUUCUUUUUAAGGGGGGUAGGAUUUGUAAUACCCAAAUUGCAAGAGUAGUGAAAUGUCCAAGAAUUGAGAAAUAUAAAGGGUUCAAUUGACCACUUGUGUUAUUAUUCUCAUAUUUGCAUAUUUCAAAUCAUGGAAUUAUCCUUGGCUAACAAUAAAUAUACUAAAUAAAAAGAAUAUGCAUCAUGUUGGAGUUUUAUAUGUUUGCACAUUAAAUAAAAUAAUAAGAAUAAUAACAAUGAGAUAAUAAUUCUAAAGGUUGGAUCAAACCCUAAAUGGAAAUUAGAGUUUGGGAAAAAAAGAGAAGGGAUAUAAAAAAAGUAUAUAAAUAAUAUAUAUAUAAAUAAAUAUAUUCAGAAUUAAUAUCCCUAAUUUCACAAAUAUAAGUAGAAGUGGUGAGCCAUAGAAGUUUGAAUUUAAAUUUGAAUUCAAAUUUAACUUGGAAAUGGAGAAAAGAAAAUAGAAAAUAAAAUGGAAAAAAAGAUUAAAACCCUAACUGGGCCCUGAUCUCCAUUUCGGCCCAUUUGCUUCAUAGCCCUGCGCAGCCCACCUCUCCUCCCACGCGGUCGAUCACUUCCAUGUGGGGCCCCCUGGUCGGAUCCCACCCGCGCGCGCCUGCUUUGCUCCGCCGUUCCACUCACAUGUGGGACCCCCUUGUCAGCGCUUUCCUCUCCCUCGCGACCGCACGAACCCGCCGCGAGCUCUGCACGCUUCGCGGGCGCCGUUCCAACCACUAUCCCGACUUCUUCUCCCUCGGCGCGGACUCGCUAGUCCAUAUGGUGCGUGCGCAGGCCCCUUUCCUCCCCCGUAUUCCACUCCCCGAGCCGGUUCAUCAGGAAGCCCUCCAUCAACCCACCUGAUUCGCAGAGAGAAAGAACGCCGGGAGAGAGAGAGAUUGAGGAAGCGUCGCCGCCAGGGGACCAUGUCCCUGUUGCCGUUCGAAGAGCGACCUUGGCCCUGGGGUGAUUCAACUCGCUCCUAGGGUUGUGUCCGUGGCCUUCCCUGAUGGGGAGACACAUCUGGCUCACUAGAAUAUCGUGCCGAAGACCCAGCGCCGCCGCGGACCGCCUAGUGCCGUGGACGAACGCUAUCCUUGACGUUCGGAGUUCGGCUGCCGGACGGGGGAGAGUACGAGAUCGUAUCGAUGCUCGUCGUGAUGUCUUCGGGCGAUGAUGGCCACCUGCUCUGGCCUGAGUGCUCGCCGUCGACAGCGCACAACCAUGAUCCCACUGGGCAUCGCGGCCGGCUUCACCUGUGUGCCAAACCUCGGUAAGAAGCCUUCCACUAAACUCGAUUUCGCCCUCAUUACGCGUAGCACCCAAACAGACUCGAUUUUGUGCGCCGGUGCCUCGGGUUGCCUGCACUCCGGCGAGCUUUGCCGCAUGGGGGCAUGGCACCGUCGCCCAGCGCUGUAACGAGGAAGAUGGCUCUCUAUCCGUAGAAUUUGAUGUCAACGGUUAAGAUCGAAUCCAUCCAUGCCGAUGCGUCGAGGGAAGCUAAGCCGUCGGAUGUUAAACGGAGGGGUAAGAUUAGAUCUCGGGGGAAGAUUACCUCAGGGUCGUCCGAUUCUUGUUCAACGGUAGAGAUUAGUUUAGGAGUACCUUUUCGUGGGAUCGGAUCGUGUCCACAGAUUGGUGGAUGUGCGGUGUAGAUCAGACCACGCCUUAAUUGUGUCUGCGCCGUCGAUGUUUGAUCUGACAGCCAGGAUUGCAUACCGUUUUCGGUGCACUCCAGAUCUAAUCCGUGCCCUCGGCUGGUGAUCCAAUGGCUGAGGUUUGCAGAUACCCCUUCGACCGAACGAUUUUGCAGAGAGGCCCUUAAAGUUUUUAGGAAUCAACCCGCCGUCCAUCUGGCUUGAUUCUGAGUCUUAGGACUUUUAUGCGUUAGACCCCUGAACUUCUCUGAAAUUAGUGUCCAGUCCAGUCAGUGAAUAAAACUUGUAAAAUCAUUUAUAAAAUGAUUUUUAUGUAAAAAUAAUUAUUAAAACUUGUUUAAAUCAUAUAAAAUUCAUAUUAAGUCCAAAUGAGUUCAUUUUAAUCUCUAUAAUUUUGUAAUAUUAUUGUUCAUCAUUUAGUAUCACUGUUUUCACAUGAAAGUCACAUUAAAAUUUAUAUCCUAUUUAAUCUUGUACAAAACACAUAAAAUCACUAGAAAUUCAUAACUUAAAAUCUAUGAUUCCGAUUUGACCCGUUUAAGUUGCGUUAGUCUCGUACAAAUAUUUACUACGCAUUAGCAACAUUUACUAUAUCAUGUCUCAUUCUUUUAUAAUUAGGUCUUUAUUUAACUGAUGUUGGUUAGCCUGCAUAAACUGCUUAUCAUUAUAUGAUUUAUGACUUAGAUUUAAAUUGAGACAAUUAUUUAUAAAAUAACGUCUCAUAAGAUUUAUACUAAUCAAUUUAUAAUAUAGUUUUAUAUCUUAAUCACAUAAAUCCUCUGUAAAAUUAUAACUCCUUAACCAUGACUCUGAUCUUAGUAGUUAUCGAUCCCGCGAUCUCGUAGCAACGCGUAGAUUAUUAUUAUUCAGUUUGUUCUUAUGUUUGGUGUGAUGUUAAUUUUGCCUAUACCAUGUCUGUGUGUAUUGCUACGACUAGCGUGAGGUCACGAGUCACCUGAAGAGCAAGUUGGUACCUGGAAUCUCAAGUGCCAGGCAAGUUGUGCCCUUGAUCACUUCUUUUACCCACUCAUGUUCUAAUUAAUCAUAAUGAUCUGCAUAGGUUAAUUUUGAUGGGACCUAAUAGGUUACCCUAGUUUGUCUAUCUUUAUGCCUUGUUUACCACUGAACUUUUUGGGUAGUACUUGCUAGUGCUAUAUGUGGUUUUGGGCAUUGAGAUACACAUUAUUCAUGAUUAUACUUUUGUUAUCCGUUGUUAUUUACUGUUCAUGUCAAGAUCAUUAAUGUUAAUUGGAACAUAGAGCUUAACUUGAGAAACACGUGCCACCACAAGGGUUUAAUGGGACGCCCUUGGCCGAUUAAUUAGGAAAGCUAGUGGAAGACUACCUUACCUGAAAGGGGCAAGGGCAGUAGGGGAGUGGUCAGUGUAGGGAGGCCCUCGGGAGGAUUUUGCUGCGAUGGCGGUCCUGCAAGGGAUUCCUGCAUUGGAGCUUCCUAUAAACUGUAGCGGGUUUUCUGAAGCUAGUGGAACUUUGUAAAGGCCUCGUAGUGUUACCUUGCCUCGCCUCCUCGGUAGAGGUGUAUGGGAAGUCGCGAUCCCUUGGCAGAUGGGUAACAUGACUUGUGGGUAAAGGGUACCACCUCUGCAGAGUGUAAAACUGGUAUACUAGCCGAGCUCACGGUCAUGAGCAGCUCAGGACUCUCUGAUGAUUAACUUAUGGAACUAAAUUCAAUUUGUCAUAUGCAUUGCAUCGCAGGUGAUGUUGUUACUUCUGUUCUACUAUUUAAUUGGGUUGGUAUUUACUUAUACUUAGUAAUUGCUAAUAAAAUUUUGACCAACUUUAAAAGCAAUGCUCAGCUUCAACCAUUUCCGUUGGUAAGCCUUACACUUCACAUGAGCUCCCACCUUUGGCGAGUUCAUGCACAUUAUUCCCCACAACUUGUUGAGCGAUGAACGUAUGUGAGCUCACUCUUGCUGUCUCACACCCCCCCACAGGUCAAGAACAGGUACCAUAGGAUGAGGCACAUGGAGGAUGCUGCGAUAUGUUCGUGAGAGGUCUAGGCCGUCGUCUCUCAGUCAACUUUGGGUUGCUGGACCGUUGUCU
rnacentral:lncRNA from 1 species